rnacentral:rRNA from 1 species
CAACCUGCCGCUUACUCGGGGAUAGCCUUUCGAAAGAAAGAUUAAUACCCGAUGGUAUAAAGAGUUCGCAUGUUCUCUUUAUUAAAGAAUUUCGGUAAGCGAUGGGGAUGCGUUCCAUUAGAUUGUUGGCGGGGUAACGGCCCACCAAGUCUACGAUGGAUAGGGGUUCUGAGAGGAAGGUCCCCCACAUUGGAACUGAGACACGGUCCAAACUCCUACGGGAGGCAGCAGUGAGGAAUAUUGGUCAAUGGACGAGAGUCUGAACCAGCCAAGUAGUGUGAAGGAUGACUGCCCUAUGGGUUGUAAACUUCUUUUAUAAGGGAAUAAAGUGAGGGACGUGUCCCUUUUUGUAUGUACCUUAUGAAUAAGGAUCGGCUAACUCCGUGCCAGCAGCCGCGGUAAUACGGAGGAUCCAAGCGUUAUCCGGAUUUAUUAGGUUUAAAGGGAGCGUAGGUUGACAUAUAAGUCAGCUGUGAAAGUUUACGGCUCAACCGUGAAAUUGCAGUUGAUACUGUAUGUCUUGAGUGUACAAGGGGUGGGCGGAAUUCGUGGUGUAGCGGUGAAAUGCUUAGAUAUCACGAAGAACUCCGAUUG